AGCAACUUACAGUUCUACAACAAGAACAAUUGGAAGUACCGUAGCAGUGUCAUGUAAUCCUGGUUAUCAGCUGCUUGGUCUGUCAACAGUUAACUGCAUGGCUGGGAGAAAUUGGACUCAGUUACCAACAUGUGAAGCUAUUGUCUGCUCCUCUCUACCGACAAUAACAAAUGGCAUGGCGGCACCCAUAAGCACUGCUCGCUAUGGAGUGGCGACAGUUCAAUGUAUAGCUGGGUACAAUCUUAGUGGUAGUCUGACAACAACUUGCUUACCAAACGGCUCGUGGGCACUCCCUAUUGGCACAUGCAACGCUAUUACAUGCCCAGUGCCUACAAUACCUAAUGCAGUGGCGACACCGGUUGUUGCUAGUGUGCCUCAACAGUAUACAAUAUCCUGCUCCAGUGGAUUUACACUCGUCGGGUCAAACACUGUCACAUGUCCAACUGCAAAUGGCUUUACAACAUUUCCCAUUU